GUUUCUGUAGUGUAGUGGUUAUCUCAUUUGUCUAACAUGCAAAAGGUCCCUGAUUCAAACCCAGGCAGAAACA